rnacentral:rRNA from 1 species
UACGUAGGGGGCAAGCGUUGUCCGGAAUUAUUGGGCGUAAAGGGUGCGUGGGCGGCGCGGUAAGUCGGGUGUGAAAUCUCGGAGCUUAACUCCGAAACUGCAUUCGAUACUGCCGUGCUUGAGGACUGGAGAGGAGACUGGAAUUUACGGUGUAGCGGUGAAAUGCGUAGAUAUCGUAAGGAAGACCAGUGGCGAAGGCGGGUCUCUGGACAGUUCCUGACGCUGAGGCACGAAGGCCAGGGGAGCAAACGGG